AUGGACCCGGACAUGGGCGAGAACUUCGCAUACUACUGGGAGACGCAGCGCUACCUCGAGUCGGAGGAGCUCGUUGACAGCAUCUUCGUCGGGGCGACCGAAGACGCCAUCUCGUACUACGACUCCAGCUCGCCGGAUGGUUCCCACUCGUCCUCGACGCCGAUGGGGUCGGCCCUGCCAGGGGCGGGGAUGGGGAUGGACGGCACUGGGGCGAACAAGAACAUACUGAUGGAACGCGACCGCCGCCGCAAGCUCAAUGAGAAGCUCUACACGCUCCGGAGCGUCGUGCCCAACAUCACCAAGAUGGACAAGGCCUCGAUCAUCAAGGACGCGAUCGAGUACAUCCAGCAGCUGCAGGCAGAGGAGCGGCAGAUGGAGGCGGAGGUGUCCGCGCUCGAGUCCGCCACCGGCGCGGAGGAUGACUACGACGGCGGCCUCUCCGUGGACCAGGUCUCCUCGGCGCAGAGGAAGAAGGUGAAGCGCGCUCUCUCGGUCUCGUCCAUGAACGACGCGCUGCUCGCCGCGGCGGCGACGGUGGCCUCGCCGCCGGUGGAGGUCCUGGAGCUGCGCGUGUCGGAGGUGAGCGAGAAGGUGCUGGUGGUGAGCGUGACGUGCAGCAAGCAGCGCGACGCCAUGACCAAGGUGUGCCGCGCGCUCGAGGAGCUCCGCCUCAGGGUCAUCACCGCCAACAUCACCUCCGUCUCCGGCUGCCUCAUGCACACCCUCUUCGUCGAGGUAGAUGAGAUGGACCGCUUCCAGAUGAAGGAGACGGUGGAGGCUGCUCUCUCGCAGCUUGAUUCCAUGGGGAGCCCGCCGCUUAGUUCGAUGAGCUAUUAG
rnacentral:rRNA from 1 species